AUGGCUUCUAGAUUGCAGAUUUGGAGAGGCAAGCUGCUCUACGGGGAUGCACGCCUUAAGCUUGUUAACUCUAUGCUCUCUGCCAUUCCGGUUCAUCUUCUUUCUGAGUUCAAGCUUCACGGGUGGGCUCUCAAUCAGAUGGAGAAGCUUCGAAGGAACUUUUUGUGGCACUCCAAGCCUGAUGCUGAUAAUGGCAUGGCUCUCGUCAACUGGAGCAUUGUUUGACGCCUGAAGCGGCUAGGGGGCCUUGGGGUGCUCGAUCUCCAACGUUUCAGCAGAGCACUUCGCCUCCGGUGGAAAUGGCUAGACUGGACUGACAACGAUCACCCCUGGGCCGGC
rnacentral:rRNA from 1 species